rnacentral:lncRNA from 1 species
AUGCCAGCAAAUUUGGAAAACUCAGCAGUGGCCACAGGACUGGAAAAGGUCAGUGUUCAUUUCAAUCCCAAAGAAAGGCAACACCAAAGAAUGCUCAAACUACCACACAAUGCACUCAUCUCACACACUAGUAAAGUAAUGCUCAAAAUUCUCCAAGCCAGGCUUCAGCAAUACGUGAACUGUGAACUUCCAGAUGUUCAAGCUGGCUUUCGAAAAGGCAUAGGAACCAGAGAUCAAAUUGCCAACAUCCGCUGGAUCAUGGAAAAAGCAAGAGAGUUCCAGAAAUACAUCUAUUUCUGCUUUCUUGACUAUGCCAAAGCCUUUGACUGUGUGGAUCACAAUAAACUGUGGACAAUUCUGAAAAAGAUGGGAAUACCAGACCACCUGACCUGCCUCUUGAGAAACCUAUAUGCAGGUCAGGAAGCAACAGUUAGUACUGGACAUGGAACAACAGACUGGUUCCAAAUAGGAAAAGGAGUAUAUCAAGGCUGUAUGUUGUCACCCUGCUUAUUUAACUUCUAUGCAGAGUACAUCAGGAGAAACGCUGGGCUGGAUGAAGCACAAGCUGGAAUCAAGAUUGCCCGGAGAAAUAUCAAUAACCUCAGAUAUGCAGAUGACACCACCCUUUUGGCAGAAAGUGAAGAGGAACUAAAAAGCCUCUUGAUGAAAGUGAAAGAGGGGAGUGAAAUAGUUGGCUUAAAACUCAUUCAGAAAACGAAGAUCAUGGCAUCUGGUCCCAUCACUUCAUGGGAAAUAGAUAGGGAAACAGUGGAAACAGUGUCAGACUUUAUUUUUUUAGGCUCCAAAUCACUGCAGAUGGUGACUGCAGCCAUGAAAUUAAAAGUUAUGACCAACCUAGAUAGCAUAUUGAAAAGCAGAGACAUUACUUUGCCUACAAAGGUCCAUCUAGUCAAGGCUAUGGCUUUUCCUGUUGUCAUGUAUGGAUGUGAGAGUUGGACUGUGAAGAAAGCUGAAUGCCGAAUAAUUGAUGCUUUUGAACUGUGGUGUUGGAGAAGACUCUUGAGAGUCCCUUGGACUGCAAGGAGAUCCAACCAGUCCAUUCUGAAGGAGAUCAACCCUGGGAUUUCUUUGGAAGGAAUGAUGCUAAAUCUGAAACUCCAGUACUUUGGCCACCUCAUGUGA